GGUGGCAUGGCCGAGUGGUUAGGCAGCGGUCUGCAAAAUCGCGUACUCCAGUUCGAAUCUGGAUGCCACCU
rnacentral:tRNA from 1 species